rnacentral:lncRNA from 1 species
CUGUGAUCGUCGGACGAUACACCGACAUCCACUUUGAUCAGAUCAGGUAUUUUUAGAUUUUAUUUCUCAUGAUCUUAUUGAAUUAUCCAUAUGAUAAUUUUAGCAUGAUUUGAUCUGAUCGAUCGGAAUUUGUUGAAUCAUAUUGUCUGAAGAAUUCAAGAUGAGUUUUCUCUCUCUAAAAUUUUCUCUCUCUAGAAUUUUCUCUCUCUAAAAUAUUCUCUCUCUUGAUUGAUUCUCUCUCUAAAAAAAAAAGGUUAGUGAAUGAAGAAAUUUCUUUUAAUAAGUUUGAUCUGAUUUUAAUGAAGAACCCUGAUCUAUGAUUGUCAGACAGCGUACUGGCACGCACCUUAAUCAGACCAUGAAUCUUUAGAUUUGAUUAUCCAUGAUUUCGAUCUAGCCAUGAUUUGAUUUGAUCAUGUUGGUUUCACCAAUUGAGAUAUUGGACCAAUCGUAAUGUUGGAUUGUGUCACCUGAUCAGUUCGAAUUGUACCUCAUGAAUUCUCUCUCCUCUGAUUUUCUCUCUCUACUUGAUUUUAUAAAAUCGAUGAAGAAACCUUAGUCCUAUCACUUCGAAUCCGAUGUGAUCUGAUAGUCAAACUUUGGAUCGUUUAGGUCCUAAUUAGAUUUUGAUUAGAUGAAACUAGAUGAUCGGACCCAAUCUAAACCAUUGAAAUAUGGUAUUCGUAUUCUUUCUAAUUAUUGAAAUUGAUUCUGUAUAGGAUUGUGGAUGUUUGAUCAUGGGAUAUCGCGAUAUGAUCUACGAAUAGAAUUUUUGGAAGAAAAUUUAUAGAAUUAUGUGAAUUUAUUGGAAUGCGUUCGACGUAAGUAAUGUUUCACUUU